rnacentral:rRNA from 1 species
GAUGAACGCUGGCGGCGUGCCUAACACAUGCAAGUCGAGCGAAGCACUUUGCUUAGAUUCUUCGGAUGAAGAGGAUUGUGACUGAGCGGCGGACGGGUGAGUAACGCGUGGGUAACCUGCCUCAUACAGGGGGAUAACAGUUAGAAAUGACUGCUAAUACCGCAUAAGACCACAGCACCGCAUGGUGCGGGGGUAAAAACUCCGGUGGUAUGAGAUGGACCCGCGUCUGAUUAGCUAGUUGGUAAGGUAACGGCUUACCAAGGCGACGAUCAGUAGCCGACCUGGGAGGGUGACCGGCCACAUUGGGACUGAGACACGGCCCAAACUCCUACGGGAGGCAGCAGUGGGGAAUAUUGCACAAUGGGGGAAACCCUGAUGCAGCGACGCCGCGUGAGCGAAGAAGUAUUUCGGUAUGUAAAGCUCUAUCAGCAGGGAAGAAAAUGACGGUAC